rnacentral:rRNA from 1 species
GACGAACGCUGGCGGCGUGCUUAACACAUGCAAGUCGAACGGAAAGGCCCUGCUUUUGUGGGGUGCUCGAGUGGCGAACGGGUGAGUAACACGUGAGUAACCUGCCCUUGACUUUGGGAUAACUUCAGGAAACUGGGGCUAAUACCGGAUAGGAGCUCCUGCUGCAUGGUGGGGGUUGGAAAGUUUCGGCGGUUGGGGAUGGACUCGCGGCUUAUCAGCUUGUUUGUGGGGUAGUGGCUUACCAAGGCUUUGACGGGUAGCCGGCCUGAGAGGGUGACCGGCCACAUUGGGACUGAGAUACGGCCCAGACUCCUACGGGAGGCAGCAGUGGGGAAUAUUGCACAAUGGGGGGAAGCCUGAUGCAGCAACGCCGCGUGCGGGAUGACGGCCUUCGGGUUGUAAACCGCUUUCGCCUGUGACGAAGCGUGAGUGACGGUAAUGGGUAAAGAAGCACCGGCUAACUACGUG